rnacentral:rRNA from 1 species
CCAAUAGCGUAUAUUAAAGUUGUUGCAGUUAAAAAGCUCGUAGUUGAAUUUCGGGAUCAGCGCGUCGGUCGUGCCUCCGGUAUGCACUGGCGCCGCUGGUUUCUCCCUUCUGAGGAACCGUGAUGUCAUUAAUUUGGUGUUGCGGGAAAUCAGGACUGUUACUUUGAAAAAAUUAGAGUGUUUAAAGCGGGCACGCGCUUGAAUACAUUAGCAUGGAAUAACGAAAUAGGACGUUCGAUCUUAUUUUGUUGGUUUCUAGGAUUGACGUAAUGAUUAAUAGGGAUAGUUGGGGGCAUUAGUAUUCAAUUGUCAGAGGUGAAAUUCUUGGAUUUAUUGAAGACUAACUACUGCGAAGGCAUUUGCCAAGGAUGUUUUCAUUAAUCAAGAACGAAAGUUAGGGGAUCGAAGACGAUCAGAUACCGUCGUAGUCUUAACCAUAAACUAUGCCGACUAGGGAUCGGAUGAUGUUAAUUUUAUAAUGACUCAUUCGGCGCCUUACG